CCUCUACAAUCUUCUAUUUAUUAAUAGAAAAGUUCAGAAGGUAGAAUUUCGGCAUUUCCUGACUUUUUAGAUGUAAUGAACCAGAUUUAUCAUAAUAGAAUUGAAUCAAUGCAUUUUUUGGAUAUAGUGAAGAAAAUAAGACAAUUCUGAUGCUGCUUCAAGAUCAAACUAUCGAAGGGAUAUUUUUGUUUUGAAAAAUUCUGGUAAAAUCCCAAAUUUGAGUUGUCGUCCUAUAAAUCCGAAGACUGAAACUUUACCAGUUACAAGUGAUAGAUACAUAUGUAAUGAUAAUCAAUUAAAACCCAAUAAAUGCAAGUUUGUGAUUGAAGAACAAUUAAAUUGCAAUCGAAAUAGUCUGCUUACGCACUUUUACAGUGCAAAUUAGUUCAAUUAUGUUGAUUCACAGGGAUUCAAAUAAUGACCCAUUGUAAGCAUAAUACAAAUCGGGAAUAGCUGAGAUAAAGGCGAGGAUAAAAGUUAUCAACAUUUUUGCUGAUUUGAUCAGAACCUAGAUGAUAAGCAAAGAAUGAUUAAACCUUUUCAGAGCGCAAUUCUUACUAACAUCGGUGAGAAUAAGUAUUUAACGCUUUAGACAAGGUAACCGGAAAUUCAAAACAAAUUAUAGACACGAUUUCAAAUGAAUAGGGAAUGAACCGAUCCCGAGAAUGGAAUAAUUGAUUAAAAUCAAAACACGUGCUGUAUCGAAUAAUUGUAUUAUGGGUUGCCUAAAAUUAAAGAUGCCAUUCAACUCUUGGGAGCGCUGAAUGUACAAUGUACAGAAUUUUCAACUAAUUUAGGUUUUCUCUUUCGCUUUGUCAAUUAUAAAAGUAUAAAUUGUAAUGAAAUUAUACAGUUAUUGUUAAUGUAUACGGUAUUCAAAAAAUGUUUCAAAUUAAAUUUUAUUAUUAAUCAUGAUUGACAACACUGCUUUAUUUGACAGAUUAAAUUUAAUUCUGUCAUUGCUCUUAUAAAUCGGUUCACUGAAAAUUGAAAGAAAAGCAAUGAAAAGGGUACAAUGAUUUUUAUGAUUCAUGCUGUUUAAAGUUCAAUUUAAUUGUACAGAUCGUAAUUCAAGAAGCAUCCUUGGCAUUCCACAUUUGCAAUUCGAUCAUAUCACUUAUUUGUAAUAAAUACUCACGCUUACUUAAUCAAAUUCGAAAAUUACAUGGAAUAUUCUUGAAUAAACUGAGAGAUAUCCUAAUAAGAUUACGGAAAUAAAAACAUGCAUAAACAAUGGAAAAGAACAUUGACAUUUAAACCGCCCAUUUAAAUGAUAACAAUG